UUUCCAGACUCCUACGGGAGGCAGCAGUGAGGAAUAUUGGUCAAUGGGCGCGAGCCUGAACCAGCCAAGUCGCGUGAGGGAGGACGGCCCUACGGGUUGUAAACCUCUUUUGCCGGGGAGCAACGGGCGUCACGUGUGGCGUCACUGAGAGUACCCGGAGAAAAAGCAUCGGCUAACUCCGUGCCAGCAGCCGCGGUAAUACGGAGGAUGCGAGCGUUAUCCGGAUUUAUUGGGUUUAAAGGGUGCGUAGGCGGAUCGUUAAGUCAGUGGUCAAAUUGAGGGGCUCAACCCCUUCCCGCUAUUGAAACUGGCGAUCUUGAGUGGAAGAGAAGUAUGCGGAAUGCGUGGUGUAGCGGUGAAAUGCAUAGAUAUCACGCAGAACCCCGAUUGCGAAGGCAGCAUGCCGGCUGCCGACUGACGCUGAAGCACGAAAGCGUGGGGAUCGAACAGGAUUAGAUACCCCAGUAGUA
rnacentral:rRNA from 1 species